GUUCGGUGUGGGGUUUUCGGUGGCAGGAGCUGCAGUUUCCCGCUUGAUCUGGAGAGACAUUGGGAUCGAUCGCUACGCUCUCUUCUCAGAUAAAUUUGAUGCUCUGGAAGCCAGAGUCUUGAACCUCGAGGCAGUACCGAAAUCGAGUUCUGGUCAGGCUGAAGGCUAGCUUUAUUUGAAGCU